AUUGAACGUUGGCGGCAGGCUUAACACAUGCAAGUCGAGCGGAGAUGAGGUGCUUGCACCUUAUCUUAGCGGCGGACGGGUGAGUAAUGCUUAGGAAUCUGCCUAUUAGUGGGGGACAACAUUCCGAAAGGAACGCUAAUACCGCAUACGUCCUACGGGAGAAAGCAGGGGAUCUUCGGACCUUGCGCUAAUAGAUGAGUCUAAGUCGGCUUAGCUAGUUGGUGGGGUAAAGGCCUACCAAGGCGACGACAAGUAGCGGGUCUGAGAGGAUGAUCCGCCAGACUGGGACUGAGACACGGCCCAGACUCCUACGGGAGGCAGCCGUGGGGAAUAUUGGACGAUGGGGGAAACCCUGAUCCAGCCAUGCCGCGUGUGUGAAGAAGGCCUCAUGAUUGUAAAGCACUGUAAGCGAGGAGGAGGCUACUGAGACUAAUACUCUUGGAUAGUGGACGUUACUCGCAGAAUAAGCACCGGCUAACUCUGUGCCAGCCGCCGCAGUAA
rnacentral:rRNA from 1 species